ensembl:snRNA U6 U6 spliceosomal RNA
UCGUUUUGGCAGCACAUACACCGAUAUUGGAAUGAUACAGAGAAGCGUAGCAUGGCCCCUGCACAAGGCUUUAAUUUCCUUUACAUUUAAAAGAUUCUUUUUUU